rnacentral:rRNA from 1 species
CGUAGGUGGCAAGCGAUACUCGGAAUCACUAGGCGUAAAGCGCAGGUAGGCGGUUCGGUAAGUCUUUUGUGAAAGCUCCUGGCUCAACUGGGAGAGGUCAAGGGAAACUACCGGGCUAGAGUGUGGUAGGGGAUACUGGAAUUCCUGGUGUAGCGGUGAAAUGCGUAGAUAUCAGGAGGAAUACCUAUGGCGAAAGCAGGUAUCUGGGCCAUCACUGACGCUGAGCUGCGAAAGCUAGGGGAGCAAACAGGAUUAGAUACCCUGGUAGUCCUAGCCCUAAACGAUGCUCAUUAGAUGUGGGAGGUAUCGACCCCUUCCGCGUCGCAGCUAACGCAUUAAAUGAGCCGCCUGGGGAGUACGGCCGCAAGGUUG